rnacentral:rRNA from 1 species
AGAGUUUGAUCCUGGCUCAGAACGAACGCUGGCGGUAUGCUUAACACAUGCAAGUUGAACGAGAAAGUUUCUUCGGAAAUGAGUAAAGUAGCAAACGGGUGAGUAAUGUAUAGGAAUCUACCCUAUAGUGAGGAAUAAGUACUGGAAACGGUAUCUAAUACCACAUACUACCGAUUUAUCGGGAAAGGGCAAUUCUUCGGGAUUGUCUGCUAAAGGAUGAGCUUAUAUCGGAUUAGCUAGUUGGUAGGGUAAAGGCCUACCAAGGCGAAGAUCCGUAGCUGGUCUGAGAGGGUGAUCAGCCACACUGGGACUGCGACACGGCCCAGACUCCUACGGGAGGCAGCAGUGGGGAAUAUUGGACAAUGGGCGAAAGCCUGAUCCAGCAAUACCGCGUGAAUGAUGAAGGUCUUAGGAUUGUAAAGUUCCUUCAGUAGGGAAGAUAAUGACGGUACCUACAGAAGAAGCACCGGCUAACUUCGUGCCAGCAGCCGCGGUAAUACGAAGGGUGCUAGCGUUGUUCGGAUUUAUUGGGCGUAAAGGGUAUGUAGGCGGUUUUAUAAGUUAGUUGUGAAAGCCCGGGGCUCAACCCCGGAACUGCUGCUAAAACUGUAUGACUAGAGUAUGAUAGAGGAUGGCAGAACUUCUAGUGUAGGGGUGAAAUCCGUAGAUAUUAGAAGGAAUACCAGUAGCGAAAGCGGCUAUCUUAGUCAUUACUGACGCUGAGAUACGAAGGCGUGGGGAGCAAACAGGAUUAGAUACCCUGGUAGUCCACGCAGUAAACGAUGAUAACUAAGUGUUUGGAUUUAUUCUGGGCGCUACAGCUAACGCGUUAAGUUAUCCGCCUGGGGAUUACGGUCGCAAGACUAAAACUCAAAGGAAUUGACGGGGACCCGCACAAGCGGUGGAACAUGUGGUUUAAUUCGAUAGUCCGCGAAAAACCUUACCAGUCCUUGACAUCCCAAUCGUAGUUAUCAGAGAUGAUUUCGUCAGUUCGGCUGGAUUGGAGACAGGUGAUGCAUGGCCGUCGUCAGCUCGUGCCGCGAGGUGUUAGGUUAAGUCCUUUAACGAGCGCAGCCCCCAUCUUUAUUUGCCAGCGAGUAAUGUCGGGAACUAUAAAGAAACUGCCAGUGAUGAAUUGGAGGAAGGUGGGGAUGAAGUCAGGUCAUCAUGUCCCUUAUGGACUGGGCUACACACAUGUUACAAUGGGAGCUACAAUUAGAUAUGAAGGAGAAAUCCGGAGUAAAUCUGUUAAAAGCUCUCUCAGUUCGGAUUGCAGGCUGCAACUCGCCUGCAUGAAGUUGGAAUCGCUAGUAAUCGUAGAUCAGCACGCUACGGUGAAUACGUUCUCGGGUCUUGUACACACUGCCCGUCAAGUCAUGGGAAUUCUUUUUACUUUAAUUAUGUGAGCUAACUUGCAAAAGAGGCAGCAUAACACGGUAGGGGGAGUGACU